UACGUAGGGUGCGAGCGUUAAUCGGAAUUACUGGGCGUAAAGCGUGCGCAGGCGGUUCGUCGUGUCCGAUGUGAAAGCCCCGGGCUUAACCCGGAAAGGUCAGCCGAUACUGCGGGGCUAGAGUGCAGAAGGGGCAACUGGAAUUCUCGGUGUAGCGGUGAAAUGCGUAGAUAUCGAGAGGAACACCUGCGGCGAAGGCGGGUUGCUGGGCUGACACUGACGCUGACAGCGCGAAAGCUAGGGGAGCGAACGGG
rnacentral:rRNA from 1 species